rnacentral:lncRNA from 10 species
CUAAGCACUAUACAAGUAUUAACUUAUUUAACCCUCAUUAUAAUCCUGAGACAAAUCCUAUUAUUAUCCUUAUUUUACAGAUGAAGAAACUGAGACCCCAAGAAUUUAAGUAAUUUGUUCAAGGCAACACACUGCUAUGUGGUAGAACUACAAAUUGAGCCCAAAUAAUCCAGCUUCAGAUACUAUGCAAAGCAGUGGGGUCUUUCACCUUUCAAGCUCUGCCUGAGAAGUCAACAUGGUGGCAUUUGGCUAGGUUCUUUUAGGCAACCAAUUGUUUUAACAUGAUUUGUUGAAAAGCCUAUUCUCUCUUUCAUUGAACUAUAAUGCUAGCUCUGUCAUAAAUCAAAUUUUCAUUUGAUUUAUGAUAUGAAAAUUAUAUGCAUUUGAUUGAUAUGCAUUUUUUCUCCAAUGAUACUCAACUGUCUUAAUUAUAUAAUUUUGUAGUAAUUCUUGGUAUCUAAUUAGGCAAAUACCCACUCCCAACCCUGUUUCUUUUGUUUUUAAAUCCAGGGGUGUUUUGGAUAUUCUCGUUCAUUUGUGCUUCCACCUACAUUUUUCAGUUAACUUGUCAGGUACGAAAAAAUAAAAGGCAAAAUUUUUUAUCCUUAAAUCAAUUUGGGCAAGUUUGCAGUUUUUUCUUGUAUUGUAACUUCCAAUCUAUGAAUAUGAUCUAUUUUUUCACCAAUUUAUGGCUUCUUCCAAUAACAUUUUAUAAUUGUCUUUUUAGAGGCCUUAUCUUUUGUUUAGAUUCAUAUCUAGGUAUUUAAUAUUUUUGAUGCUGUUAUAAAUGGUAUUUUUAAAAAUAUAUACAUUUUUAACUAUUUCACAUAGAAAACUUUAAUGGAUUUUUAAAAUGUAGAUUUGUAUUCAGUAAACCUGUUAAAAUCUCUUAGAAUGUCUAAGAGUUUAUUUAUUCAAUUUGAUUUUCUUUUUUUUUUUUUCUCCUGGAGACGGAGUUUCGCUCUUGUUGCCCAGGCUGGAGUGCAGUGGCAUGAUCUCAGCUCACUGCAACCUCCGGCUCCCGGGUUCAAGCAAUUCUCCUGUCUCAGCCUCCUGAGUAGCUGGGAUUACAGGCUCCCACCACCAUGCCCAGCUAAUUUUUGGUAUUUUUAGUAGAGACAGAGUUUCACCAUGUUGGCCAGGCUGGUCUCAAACUCCUGACCUCAGGUGAUCCGACUGCUUUGGCUUCCCAAACUGCUGGCAUUACAGGCGUGAGCCACUGCGCCCUGGCCUAUUCUACUGGAUUUUCUAUGCAAUUGUGUUAUAACUCAUCAUAAAGAUAAUUUUAUUUCUUUUCCACAAUCUUUACAGGUUUAAUUUUUUUCUAUGCCUUGCUGCACUCUCUAUGAUUUCCAGUAUUGGCACUACUCUGGCCUUUGGUCUUUGCUCUUGCAUCAGCCUUUCAUAAUUGGGUAUGUUUGUUGUAAGUUUUCUGUAGAGAGUCUUUAUGAGGUUAAGAGAUUUGUUUCAUUUCUAGUUUAUUAAGAGAUUUUAUUAUAGAUCAAUGUUAAAUUUUAUCAAAAUUUCUCCAUUGCAUUUCUAUUGAGAUGAUCACAUGAUUAUUAAAAAUUAGUAUAAAGAUUUAUUAUUUUGAUAUUUUAAAAUCAGGUUUAUUGAGGCAUAAUUUAUAUAUAAUAAAAUUUACCCUAUUAGAGUAUCCAGUCCAGUAAGUUUUGGUAAAUGUAUGCGAAUAACACAAUAAACAGGUUUAGAACUUUUCCAUCACCACAAAAAGUUUAUCAGGCCCCUUUGCAGUUAAUACUCACCUUCUCUCCAGCCCCAGUAAACCAUGGAUCUGCUUUUUGUUACUGUAGUUUUUCCUUUACUUUGAUUUUUUUGAGUGUUAAGCCAGCCUUACAUUUCUGAGUUAACUUGGUCAUGAUAUCUUCUACAAACAUUAAUGAAUUUAGUAUGAUUGGCUGAUGCCUUUGCUUUCCUAUACUGUCCUUGCCUGGUUGGUACAAGGAUUAUAUAAUACUUAUAAAGUGAGUUGAAGACAGUUUCCUCUUUUCACCAGCUGGAAUAAUUUAUGUAUUAUUGAAAUUAAUUGCUCCUUAAAUACUUGGCAGAAUUCACUACAAAGGCACUUAAUUCUAGACCUUUUGGAGGAAGAUAAAAUACUGAUUUUUUAAAUCAUUAUUUUAUUUUUGUAAUACAGCUUAUUUUUCCAGAAACUUCUACUUUUCGUUUACAUCUUCAAGUCAGAUUAAAGUUGUAUUAAUAACCCCUUAUUAUUUAAAUCUCAGCAGAAUGUGAAGUUAUGUUCCCCCUUUGUAUCCAUUUUUUUCUCUAGAUAUUUUUCUGUUACCUGUUUUAAAUUUAAUUCCAUUGUGGUCAGAGAUAAUACUUUGUAUGACUUGCAUUCUUUUAUGUAUAUUGAGACUUGUUAUAAGGCACAGAGUAUGGUUUAUCUUGGUAAUCAUUCGUGGCACACUUAAAAAUCAUGUGUUUUCUGCUAUUGUUGAGUGGGAUGUUCUGUAACUGUGAAUUAGGUCAAGUUAGUUGACAGUGUUGUUCAAGUCUUUUAUAUUAUUACUGACUUUCUUUCUACUCACUCUAUCAAUUAGUGAAAGGUGUCAAUAUUUCCAGUUAUAAUCAUGGAUUUGUCUAUUAUUACUUUCAGUUAGAAAUUUCUAGCUGAAAUUAUCUAUUUCUACUUUCAGUUAGUGUUAGCUUGCUAUAUCUUUUUUCCAUCCUUCUUCUUUUAACCCAAUGUAUCUUUAUAUUGACAUUACAUAUAUGAUUUAUAUUAUAUUAUGUUACUAUAUCUUGUAUGCAGCAUAUAUUUGGAUCUUUUUUAUCCAAUCUGAUGAUCUUUGCUUUUUAAUUAAUGUAUUUAGAUCAUUUACAUUUACUGUGAUUAUUAAUAUGUAUUAAGUUCAAAUCUACCACUUUGGUAUUG